rnacentral:rRNA from 1 species
CGCGAAUGGCUCAUUACAACAGCUAUAAUUUACUUGAUCUUGACAAACUUACAUGGAUAACUGAGGUAAUUCUUGAGCUAAUACAUGCACCAAAGCUUUGACCGCAAGGAAAGAGCGCAUUUGUUAGAACAAAACCAAACGGCUUCGGCUGUUCCCAGUUGAAUCAGAAUAACUCAGCUGAUCGUACGGUCUUGUACCGACGACGUGUCUUUCAAGUAUCUGCUUUAUCAACUUUCGAUGGUAGGGUGUCUGCCUACCAUGGUGGUGACGGAUAACGGAGGAUCAGGGUUCGACUCCGGAGAAGGGGCCUGAGAAAUGGCCACUACGUCUAAGGAUGGCAGCAGGCGCGCAAAUUACCCACUCUCAGAAUUUGGAGGAGGUAGUGACGAGAAAUAACGAGGUUGAUCUCUUCAGAGGCCAACCAUCGGAAUGGGUACAAUUUAAACCCUUUAACGAGUAUCUAUGAGAGGGCAAGUCUGGUGCCAGCAGCCGCGGUAAUUCCAGCU